UCCCUCAUGGUCUAGUGACUAAGAUUUUGCAUUCCCAAUGCAGGGGACCCAGGUUCAAUCCCUGGUCAGGGAG
rnacentral:tRNA from 1 species